rnacentral:lncRNA from 1 species
UGGAAGUAAGGCAGCCCCACUUUCUUCCCAUACAGAGACUCAGUUUCUCCUUUGCCUGAAGAGAAUGACAAGGCCUCCCUCAUGGUGCUUCUGGGAGGAGAGGAGCCUGCCAAGACCAUUAGCAUCAGAGCUCUCAGCCUGGAGAGGAGAAUGAGCAGGAGGUGGGGCAGGAGAUCCAUGAACAUGUCUGGGGAGCCGUGGACCCUGAUGAAGCAGGCACACGGGAUUCCAAAGAUGCAGUCAGACUCCUUAAGUGACUGAGGACCCACGGCCACAGAUGCCCUUCGAGGGCAGCCCCCAGCACAGGGCAGCUCCAGGCACCAGGUCUCCUUCAGCAUCAGCCCGGGGAUCCGCCAUUCUCCUGGGUGAUGGCAGAGAGAAUCAAGCGUCUUCACUGUACAGAGGGGGCGACUGAGGCCCCGAGGGAAGGAAGGGCCGGAAUGGCCUACCUGAGGUCAGGCACACACAGUGUACUUACGGGAGGGCCGUGUGUCUCUAAGCCCGCCUAACGCUAAUGAUCAAGACACGUGUUAGCAUGGGUCAGGCCCUCAAGCCCUCAGACACGUUAACCCCGUCCUUCCUUUGGUCCCUCCUGCUGCCUGCCUUUCCCCUUCGCAUCUUUUCUUCCCACUCAGUUCCUGAAUCAGAUUCCAGGGGCUAAUGUUCCAGUUACCUAGUUCUGUGUAAUAAACCACCCCAAAAAGUUAGUGGCUCAAAUCAACAAUGGUCACUUCAUUGGCUCACCAAUCUGCAGGAAAGGCAAGG